rnacentral:rRNA from 1 species
CCGCGGUAAUACAGAGGGUGCAAGCGUUAAUUCGGAAUUACUGGGCGUAAAGCGAAGCGUAGGUGGCUUGAUAAGUCAGAUGUGAAAUCCCCCGGGCUUAACCUGGGGAACUGCAUCUGAUACUGUUAAGCUAGAGUAGGUGAGAGGGAAGUAGAAUUCCAGGUGUAGCGGGUGAAAUGCGUAGAGAUCUGGAGGAAUACCGAUGGCGAAGGCAGCUUCCUGGCAUCAUACUGACACUGAGGCUCGAAAGCGUGGGUAGCAAACAGGAUUAGAUACCCUGGUAGUCCACGCCGUAAACGAUGUCUACUAGUCGUUGGGUCCCUUGAGGACUUAGUGACGCAGCUAACGCAAUAAGUAGACCGCCUGGGGAGUACGGCCGCAAGGUUAAAACUCAAAUGAAUUGACGGGGGCCCGCACAAGCGGUGGAGCAUGUGGUUUAAUUCGAUGCAACGCGAAGAACCUUACCUGGUCUUGACAUACACAGAAUCUUGUAGAGAUACGAGAGUGCCUUCGGGAAUUGUGAUACAGGUGCUGCAUGGCUGUCGUCAGCUCGUGUCGUGAGAUGUUGGGUUAAGUCCCGCAACGAGCGCAACCCUUGUCCUUAGUUACCAGCGGGUUAAGCCGGGAACUCUAAGGAUACUGCCAGUGACAAACUGGAGGAAGGCGGGGACGACGUCAAGUCAUCAUGGCCCUUACGACCAGGGCUACACACGUGCUACAAUGGUAGGUACAGAGGGCAGCUACACAGCGAUGUGAUGCGAAUCUCAAAAAGCCUAUCGUAGUCCAGAUUGGAGUCUGCAACUCGACUCCAUGAAGUAGGAAUCGCUAGUAAUCGCGGAUCAGAAUGCCGCGGUGAAUACGUUCCCGGGCCUUGUACACA